UACGAAGGGGGUUAGCGUUGCUCGGAAUCACUGGGCGUAAAGCGCACGUAGGCGGCUUGUUAAGUCAGGGGUGAAAUCCUGGAGCUCAACUCCAGAACUGCCUUUGAUACUGGCAAGCUUGGAGUCCGGGAGAGGUGAGUGGAACUGCGAGUGUAGAGGUGAAAUUCGUAGAUAUUCGCAAGAACACCAGUGGCGAAAGCGACUUUCUGGGACAUUUCUGACGCUGAGGAACGAAAGCUCGGGGAGCAAACAGG
rnacentral:rRNA from 1 species